rnacentral:rRNA from 1 species
AAAAACUUUCAACAACGGAUCUCUUGGUUCUGGCAUCGAUGAAGAACGCAGCGAAAUGCGAUAAGUAAUGUGAAUUGCAGAAUUCAGUGAAUCAUCGAAUCUUUGAACGCACAUUGCGCCCUCUGGUAUUCCGGGGGGCAUGCCUGUUCGAGCGUCAUUGCAAUCUCAAGCCGCUUGGUUUUGAGCAUCGCCCUU